ensembl:lncRNA
GCUCUCCGCGUUCGCAGCCGCCGUCGUCCCGUGGAGGAGCGCGCAGCCCAGGGGAGGCCCAUAGAAUGCCCAGGAGUGACAAGCUGUCCUGAGCCCCUCUGGUGUACUCACCUGCCUGUCCCAUACGCCCCGCCCACCAUGGAGUCCAGAGGGAAGUCGGCCAGCAGCCCUAAGCCUGACACCAAGGCGCCCCAGGCCACCACCGAGGCCAAGGUACCCCCGGCAGCCGAUGGGAAGGCCCCCUCGACCAAGCCCUCGAAGAAGGAGGCCCCGGCCGAGAAGCAGCAGCCGCCAGCGGCCCCCACCACGGUACCUGCCAAGAAGACCCUGGCCAAGGCCGACCCUGCCCUUCUCAACAACCACAGUAACCUGAAGCCGGCCCCCACGGCCCCCGCGGUCCCCAGCAGUCCUGAUGCAACCCCAGAGGCCAAGGGUCCUGGGGAUGGGGCGGAGGAGGACGAAGCUGCCGGUGGGGGGUCUGGGGGCCAAGGUCCCUGGUCCUGCGAGAACUUGAACCCCCUGCUGGUGGCUGGAGGUGUGGCCGUGGCAGCCAUAGCCCUGAUUCUCGGUGUGGCCUUCCUGGCCCGGAAAAAAUAAUACCUGGGGGCCAGGCGGGGGGCACGGAGUCACUUCCUGUACAGACCUGAGGAAGCCAGUGCAUGCAGAGUUCACCCUUAUCUACGUGUACACACACACAUUCAUUACACACCUACAUAUGCCCCCAAUACACACACAAAGUGGAGAGGAUGCCCGAGCCCACCCCUGCUGACCCAGGACUUCCCCAACCUCCAGGGCAGAAAGAGUCCAGGCUCCGGGGUCCACAGCACAGGAUGCGGGGAGAAGGCACAGCUGGGGAACCUCAAGAAAGGAACGGACCCCAUGUGUGGGCCCCCCACCCCCGGCAGCUGGGUGAUCCUGGGCCCCCAGGGCUGGUCUCUGAGUGGGGGUGCUGGGAUGGGUUCUGCCUGGGCCCGGCCCUCGUGGGGACAUUAAAGGGCACGGUUGCUCCACUUGCCCCAGUUCUGCUCUUUGUGUACCCCUGGGGGUCUGCCUGGGCCGAUGCAGUGGGACAGACCUGGGGUGGGCAGUCACCUCAGCAGAGCCUCAGUGCCACCUCCCCACACCACCCAAGCCUAGCUGGGUGGGAAGACGGAGCCUGAAGCCUGCUUGUGGAGGGGGUGCUGCCCAAGGGUUGCCUUCCCCAGCUUGUGCUCCAGGGGAGCUCCGAUGCUGGUGGGGAGGCAGGAUGUCGAGGGCCCCUCAUAGUUGUGCCCACCCUGCCCCGCUAGACUGCCCCUCCAGCUUGCACCUGGCACCAUCUGAGUCUAACCAGCGUAUAAAUGCAAUAACAGGUAGAGUAGAACUGCUUGGCGGCGACCGUCACACACUGUCCUCAGCCCACCGUACCUGGGGAGGCCCCUUGUGCAGCCCCUCCUUAGCACAUCCAGUCCCAGCGUGGUCUUUGGCGUGCAGCAGCAGGCGAGCUCCCGGAAGGUGGUGGUGGGCACUGUGAGAACGCAGCCUGCCCUCACUGGCCAGCGGCCACAGGAACCCUGGGCCUGAGUGGAGGCUGAGUCUGAAAUAAACUCUGUUGUCUAAAGGCUGGGCUUGCAUCCUCAUCUGCAUGUGGCUGGGAGACACAGGGGCUUCCCACUGGGGAAUGAGGGGUUCACGUCCACACUCCAGGCUUUCCAGGGGAGAGGUGCUGCAUCCAGGACCCUCUGACGGGACCCCCUGCCACUCCUAUGCCCUUAUCCCGGGGGGCUCAGCCCAGAGCCACACCCAGG